rnacentral:siRNA from 1 species
ACGGCUCACUAUGCAAUGGUU